GAUUAACGCUGGCGGCGUGCAUAACACAUGCAAGUCGAACGAUGAAACUUUAAUGAACCCUUCGGGGAGAAUUAAAGCGGAUUAGUGGCGAACGGGUGAGUAACGCGUGAGUAACCUGCCUUACACAAGGGGAUAGCCUUUGGAAACGAAGAAUAAUACCCUAUAAAACCAUAAAAGCACAUGCAAUUAUGGUCGAAGUGAUAGCGGUGUAAGAUGGACUUGCGUCUGAUUAGCUAGUUGGUGAGAUAAAAGCCCACCAAGGCAACGAUCAGUAGCCGGCUUGAGAGAGUGUACGGCCACAUUGGGACUGAGACACGGCCCAGACUCCUACGGGAGGCAGCAGUGGGGAAUUUUGCACAAUGGGGGAAACCCUGAUGCAGCGACGCCGCGUGAUUUAGAAGGCCUUCGGGUUGUAAAAAUCUUUUGUAUAGGAAGAAAAUGACAGUACUAUACGAAUAAGGUCCGGCUAAUUACGUG
rnacentral:rRNA from 1 species